AGUAAACUUCCAAGGUCUCUCUACAGGAAAAGAAGAUGCACUAUCCUUUAUUUGUUUGCAAAUCAAAAUGACAUUGACAUAGAGAGAGAGAGAGAGAGAGAGAGAGAGAGAACCUGAGGGAAGGAGGGAGCUUAGGAAAUAAGUGUGGCUUCCUCAGAUGAACUGGAAGAGUCAGCAUGGAGAAAAGGUCAGCCCAAUCAAGCUUUUGUUCCUCAGAUACAACAAAGGCUUGUCCAAAGCCUUCCAUAUCUCCUGGAUGCUGCCAAUAUUUUUUCUUUUCUUCCAUGCUGAGAUUGAAGAAUCCCUCAACCUCUUUCUUUAAUUUCUCUAGAAAUGCUGUGCUCAUUCCAUGAUUUACCAGCUGAAAAAAAUACAGGAACGAAAUGCAGCAAAGAUUUAAUAAUCGUGCCACUAAGCUCACAAUAGUCCAGGUGUUUUAUGAAGACAGAUUGCAACUUAUCUGACUGAUUUAGAGAUAAGAUUUACCAUCAAAGAUAGCUAAAAGCAUUUGUUACAUUUAAAUCUUCUCAACAAUUAGUUUCCACAGGUGUUUUUUAUUCAUUCUAUCGGAGAAAUUUCGGUUAUUCUAGAAUAACUAUAACGAGCAUGAAGUUCUUGUGGUUUGUUCACACCUAGAAUUUGAAAAAUCAUACAACAGCAAAUAAUCUCAAUGUUACUUCGAAUUGUCUUUAAAUUAGAGUAAUUUGCAACAUUGACUACAGAAAUGAGUACAUUUUCUAAGAGGUCUUACACAAUUUACGAUAGUAUAUCUUUUAAAAUUUUGACAGAAGCAUAUUUCUCAUAAGGUACCAAAAGCCAUUGAGGCAGAGGAGGGGAAAUUUCUCAAGACCGUAUUUUUCAUACAUAUUGCGUGUUUGACAUUUAGGAAUGAAAUAGCUAAUUAACCCAUGUCUGGAGGGGGAAAGGUAAAGCAGUAUAGAAAGUCAAUAAUAAAUAAACCAGAGACAAGUUCUUCUUUUCACAAGCUGCAGUCCUAAGCCACUGACAACACCGAAAAGUGAAACCAUGAUCUGCUAACAUCAAUGAUACGUGGGUUUAAGAAAUAAAUAUGAAUUUUAAUUUUGCCUAUUGGAUUGAGAAUUUGCAUAUUUCUCGAUUCUUGUUCACAAACAAGCAUGUUCUGGCGAAACAAUUUUCUAACUUUGCUAAAGCAUUAUACCUGGAAAAAACCCCAUUCUUUGCAUGCGAAGUCGAGCUUGGCUAGCUCAGAAUCCAUUGAUUCUUCAGAAAGUAAGCUUUGCAUGUCAAUAACUGGUAUCUGUGAAAUCAAAGUAUCAUCAGAAAUGAGUGGUGAAUCUUGAUCUGGACGUAUGUAUCUGUCGGGGACAACUAACGCAGGAUUCUUGACCAACUCUUGAACACAAGGCACAAGGAGAGAACUUCCAAUCUGGGCCAUCUUUUGUUCCUCAAAUCCUUUCAAGAUUGCUGCAGCUUUGUAUUGAUUUUGGAACAAGACUGAGUGCCGACAAUCACAAAAGUAAAAAAGAAUCUUUUUCCAAGAAAUUAAUCAGCAUCCUCCACCUAACCAUUCAUGAAGUAUUUUUAAUUUUUUGCACAUGUUUAGAAUGCAUAAUAAAAUAUUCGCAGGUCAAAACUAUCCUCUAUUGAUAAGGAUAACAAAUCAUCAGCCAAUUAAUUAGGGUAAUUUUUAAAAACCUCCCCUGAGGUUUGGGCUUGUUGUAAGUAAAUGAUGAGAAUUGAUUUAUUUGUAAAAAAUUCUCUACCGUCAGUUAAUUUUAACAUUGACUGUUAGUUGACUGUGCAAAGACAAUAUUACCCUUAACAAUAAUUUAUAGACAGAAAUAACUAUAAAAAAAUUAAAAUUAUUAGUUAUUUUACCCUCUUUAAAUUAUUGAUAUUUUCUUAAAGUUCCUACAAGAAAGAUAAAAUUAAAAAUUUUAAAAAUUCUCUUUAAAUUAUUGAUAUUUUCUUAAAGUUUCUACAAAAAAGAUAAAAUUAAAAACUUAAAAAUAAAAUAGUUAUAAUCUUUACUUAUGAUAUUGUAAAUUUUUGGAAUUGACAAGGAUAAAAUUGUCAAAAAAUAGGGUUUGUGCUUUUCGCGCCAACAAUUUUAAUUUUUUUUUUAGUUAUUUCCGUCUACAAACUGUUGUUGAGGGUAAUAUUGUCUUUGCACAGUCAACUAACGGUCAAUGUUAAAAUUAACUGACGGUAGGAGGUUUUUUAUAAAUAAACAGAUUCUCGUCAUCUGCUUGCAACAAGUCCAAACCUCAGGGGAGGUUUUUAAAAAUUAUCCCAAUUAAUUAUUUGUGGUUCCCACCUUGUCAUCAACCCAAAAGGCAAAGGUAUUUUCAAUACUGCGUUUUGUUUUCUUUUUCCCUUUCUAUUUUUCUUUCACAACUUGGCAUUGAUCUCGGAGCAUUUGCUCUUGACUUGUGCGAGUAAUCCACCAUUGCGUGUCUGCAGUUAAAAGGACUUCUUAAAAUUUUUUCUAACACGCUGCAAUCUGGUGCUGUGUUGGAAUUGACUGUGCACUAUUAAGAAAACAGUGGGUUCCAAUUGUAAUCGAUUAGUCAUUUAUACAAUUAUAGCUGUUUAUAUUUAGGCAUUAAUUAUCUUUAUAUUUUUAUCUGAUAACAACCAAUUAAAACCUCAUAUUUUGCUUGCGAAUCCAAGUUCCACUUACGAAAGUAACAUCUGUCUCAUUUUUAAUUAUUGAUAAUUAUUAUUACUAUUAUUAUUAUUUUUUAUUAUUAUUAUUGGUAACAAGUUACAACUUAUGUACUCAUGCAAUGUGUUCUAUGGAGAACAAUGUUGCUACAAGCAAUACAAAAUUUGUUACAAUUUAUUGUCUUGAAUAUUUUCGGUAAAAACUACUUAUUUUAACUACAUGCAUGCUACUGGGGAAGGUUGUAAAACAAAUUAUCACAACAAUCUGCUUAAUGUGACGGAUGGUUAAGCCAAAUGACAACAUAUAACCCAAGCAUGUUGUUAUCUAUUCAACUUCAGUGACAUUGUAACAAAAUAUAUUGUUGAUAAGGAUGUAAUUGGACAAGCAAGCGUUAGAAUGGCAUGCUUAAGUAUUUAAUAUCAUAUUUGAAUCAUCUUUAACUCCGAAAGCAAGUGAAAUAGUUCUUGAAAUCUGAUAAAAACAUGACAAGCCUGCAAAAAUUCUAUUCCAAAAAUGAAAGACACUGAUCCAAAAUAAGCACAAUUAUCAUCAGAAAAUUCCUGGCACAAAUCUGCAACUAUCCAAAAUAAUUAUGCUAGCCUCGACCAUGUUGAAUUCUCAGGUCAUCCAGGUGAGAUUUUCCCCUAAGCUCACGAGCAAAUCGGCUCCUAAAGUAUUCUUCAACCGUCACUCUUCGAAACAAUGCAGGAGUUUUUUCAGAUAUCAAACUGGAUGCUGGAUAUAUUUCACCAUCUAAUCUCUUUGUGUAAAAUGUGGCAAUGGAAAGUCUUUCUUGUAUAGAGUUCACAAUUGCACGAUGCUCAAUGCUACAGUAUGUCCCAUUGGUUAUAAUUUGCAGUGUUAAAAAUAUUAGAGCACAUGAGAAGGGACAUAAAAAUGCCAAGGAAAGUAAUCAUAAUUAUUACCUCUAAUGUGUCUCCGAUGUUGACAAUGAAAGCAUUUGGCAGCGGUGUGAUAGGAAUCCAUUUUCCAUCGUUCUUGAUCUGGAGACCUUCUACUUCAUUGAUUUGUAGCAGAAUGGUAAGAGCAGAGCCAUCAGAAUGAGGGGUGAGGCCCAUAACCUUUUCUGGCUGAGGACAUGGAGGGUAAUAGUUCAUCCUCAUUGAUUGGAAACCAUUGUCAAAGAAUUCUCUCAAUUCUUCAUCUUUGAUAUUUAAAACUUUUCCCAUUUUCGAUAUCAGGUUCAUGGCCAAAGAUUUUAACUCCAUUGAGUAAACUUCCAAGGUGUCUCUACAAGAAAAAAGAAGGUAAAACAUUAGAUAGAAUCAUAGAAGGUUUAAUUUUCUCUUUUUGUUUGCAAAUCCAUAUCAAGCACAAACAGAGAGAACCUGAGGGAAGGAGGGAGCUUAGGAAAUAAGUGUGGCUUCCUCAUAUGAACUGGAAGAGUGAUCAUGGAGAACAUGUCAGCCCAAUCAAGCUUUUGUUCCUCAGAUACAACAAAGGCUUGUCCAAAUCCUUCUACAUCUCCUGGAUGCUGCCAAUAUUUUUUCUUUUCUUCCAUGCUGAGAUUGAAGAAGCCCUUAACCUCUUUCUUCACUUUCUCUAGAAAUGCUGAGCUUACUCCAUGGUUUACCAGCUGAAAUUAUGCAGGAAUGAACAGCAGCUAAGAUUUGAUAAUCGUGCCACUAGGUUCACAACCGUCCAGGCGUUUUAUGAAGACAGAUUGCAACUUAUUUGACUGAUUUAGAGACAAGAUUUGCUGUCAAAGAUGGCUAAAAGCAUUUGUUACAUUUCAACUGAGAACAUUGCUGUUGCAUUAAACACCAAUUUUAUUUUGUUUAUAAAUCUAAUCAAUGAUUGAUUUUUACAAGUGUUUUUUACUCAGUUUUGGAGAAAUUUGAAUAUUCUAGAACAGCUAAUAAUCUGCGGGAGUCUUAUACAAUUUACUAUAUCGUUUAUCACAUAUUGACAGAAGCAUAUUUCUCAUAAGCUACCAAAAGCUAUUGAGACAAAGUAGGUGAAAUUUGUCAUGGGCAUCUUUUAAUACAAAUUAUACUAACAAAUCUAUGGCUAUAUGUAAAGGUAAAGUAAUAAAGAAAGUCAAAAACAAAUAUAUCAAUGGAAUCUGGGUUUCAGAAAUAAAUGGUGAGUGUUUUCUUCUCAUAUCGCCUCAAAUUGUACAAUAAAACAAGAGACAACUUCCUUGACAUUUCACAAGCUGCGGUCCUAGAAGCACUGAAAGCAGCAAAAGGACUAGAUGGGAAAAUUUGAAAUCAUGACAUGCUAAAUCAACGGAAACUGGGUUUCAAAAAUAGAUAUUUUGUGACAGAGUUUUGCAGAUUUCAUGAUUCUUAAAUCACAGACAAGCAUGAAAAAUCUUUCUAACUCUGCUAAAGCAUUUUACCUGGUAAAAACCUCAUUCUUUGCAAGCGAAGUCGAGCUUGGCUAACUCAGAAUCCAUUGAUUCUUCAGAAAGCAAGCUCUGCAUGUCAAUAAUUGGUAUCUGUGAAAUCAAAGUAUCAUCAGAAUUGAGUGGUGAAUCUUCGUCCGGACGUAUGUAUCUAGGAGGGACAACUAACAUAGGAUUCUUGACCAACUCUUGAACACAAGGAACAAGCAGAGAACCUCCAAUCUUGGCCAUCUUUUGUUCCACAAAUCCUCUUAAGAUUGCUACAGCUUUGUAUUGGUUUUGGAACAAGAGUGCAGGGUGCAGACAAUCGCAAGAGUUGAAAACAAUUAUUUUCUAACAAAUCAGCAUCCUCCACCUAACCGCUCAUGAUAUAUUUUUAUGCAAAUGACUGAUCUGGAUUAUUUUAAGGGGACCAUUCAACAGCAUGGUAAAAUAUGGGCAGGAAAUAGACCAUCAUUGAUAAUCACAACUAACAAAUCAGCUAGUCGAUUAAUUAUUAGUAAUUCCCAUAUUACCUUAUACAUUAAUAGUACUAACGGACGAGCCCUCACCUCGUUCACCUUUUGACUCCGAAUCAUCCUGUUCGUAUGCUUCUUACAUGGUCUGAAGGAAAAAUGAAAAUUCUAGAAAUAUUUUUCUUAUUGAAUUCAGCAGCGGAGUAAUCGAAUAUUGGAUUAUGUUAAUGGUCAAAAGAAAUCGCAAGUGGAAAUCCUUAUCUAAUCACAAUAUAAAUGCCCUUUUUAUGGAUUGUUCAAUGUUCUUAAUUUUAAUCUUCACGAAGAAGAGAAGAAGUUGAUUUAGCAAUUUUUACGUCUUUCUUGUUCUUAUUAUUAGAGAGAUUUUAUUCAAAGUGGAAGAAGUUAAUUUAAACUCAACUUCCCUCUCAAUUUCCAUAAACUGUACAUGUAACUACAUGGUAGUUACCAUGUGCGGGUCGGAUUGGCUCGGCCCAUCAUGGGUGAUCCACCCAUCCCAUAUCUCCCAUUCGUACAUGAUGGGAUGACAUCGAAACAGCAGAGCAGUGAACAUAUAAAUAAUGAACAACCACAUAUCUUUAAUCAUACAGGUAGAUAUAUCAUGUGACCAUGAACAUAUCUAAAAAUCCAUUUGGUGAGUCAAAAACAUAUCUCGAUUGCUAACUCAGGCAAAAGAUGUCUCAAUUGCAAUCGUAUGCAAGAGAAUUUAAAAAUAUGUUCAUUGUAUCCUAGAUUUAAUUUAUUUUAAUACUCAAGCAUACUAAAUCCCAUUAGUAUGCUAAAAUUGCACAAUCUCUUUAUGUAUUCACAAUUGUAAUAUCCCAAAGAUAUUAUACAAUUGGUCGACCAGUGAAUCACAUAAAAGAAAAAUUAAAUCUUUUUAUCACACUCAUGUUCAUCAAUUCAGAAUAGUCGCUUUCCUAGUCAUGUUUCAUAGACCGAAUAAUGUAAAAGGUCAUAGAUAACAUACUAAAGUAGCAGACAUCACUCUGAGAUCUCAAAAAUAUAGUUAAUAGUCAUAAGGAUAUCGGGAUUGACUUAUAAAAAGUUAUAUAGAACUUACACAAUGAGAAAGAUGGAAGAUUAUUUCAUUUUCCAUUUUGGUUACCAAGCACGCGUGGUAUGAUACACGUGUUACAGUAAAUUUUCCAUUUCAGGACUAUAGAUCUUAGUCUAGUCACUCUUUUAGAAUGAACGCUCUCCUUUAGCGUAAAACGUAAGAUCUCACAUCUGGCUUCAAUCAAGUCUCCAUGAUGGUGGGGUAUAUCAUAGUCAGUCUAUAAUAUGGGCAGGAAAUAGACCAUCAUUGAUAAUCAAGUCGAAAAAUCGUGUGAGACCUCUUGAUUCUAGUCAAGGUAAAAAAACUUGUAGAAUAACGCUUUUUAUUUGGCUCUCAAACAAAAACAUGGUUUUAUUAUUCUACUUGUCUCAUCUCAGCUUGCUCCUAAAGCAAUUGAGGUGACCGCUUGUGUAAGAAAACUAGUCUGGACCUGACGACAUACUCUUAUAUAUGUGUAAUUGUGUCUUUCAUGGAAUAAAUUGAAAUAAGAGAUACUAUUACAUUUUCAAACAACUUAUGUAAUGAAGAUGUUUAUAACAAAUAAGUGCAUCUUAAUAAUAGUAAUUUAUAAUCUAUGUAGCCCUAAUGAUUUAGCAUGAGAGGCGAAUACAUCCCUUAUUACAGCUUUGGUAAGUGGAUCAGUUAUCAUGCUAUGUGUAGAUAUAUAUUGUAUGGCUACUGAUAACUCUAUGAAAUGAGAGUUAUCAUGGCACUUUUAAGCUUAAAUCAAUACUAAUUAGAAAGUAAAUUAUGUGUUUCUAUUGCAUUUUUGUUACAUUUUGCAUAAAUAAUCAUUUUAGUCAGUCUUAAUAAGUUUUGCUUGAUUUAAAGUAAUUUGUGCUCAAAUUGUGUGAAUAAUUGUAGGUUUCCAGAAGUUUAUAAUUCAUGGAAGGAAUGCUAUGCAAUAGGCUUGCAAAAAUAAGGAAGAACAUGGCUAUAAAAGAAUUGAAACAAAUCUGGAACAGUACAGUUGCUGUAGCAACCAUUGCUUUAGCCAUUGCUGUAGCAAUCUUGGAACAACGACGAAGAAAAUUCCGUGCGGGAUACUUGCAGAAUUGCAAUCUGUAGUUUCCUAAUCUGACUUAUGCGCGCUUUAGGCUUCCGUUUACCCUAAUUUUCAACUAUAAAAGAAGCACACAUCAUAAGGAUUAAAGAGAGCCGUCACCCAAGGAGAAAAACAAAAAGAAACAAAAGAAAAACAAGAUUCAAGAGAGAGAUUAAAGGCUGCACAAGAGGAGAAUUUGCAUAAAUCAAUUGAGAGCUCAAUCCUUCUUAUUCUUCUCUUGUUUUCUUGUUUUCUAUUUAUUUAUGGGAAUGUGUUUCAUUGUUGAAGCUUUGUUCUUUAUUUUUCUUUUACAAACCAUGAACUAAAUUUAUUUGUGGUUGAGUGAUAAACAAUCUUGAUGGUUUAUUGACUGAAUAUAUGUGUUGCUACAUGUUUACUGUAGCAGUUUGUUUUGAUAGUACAAGUUAGGAGAGAGUAGCAAAAUGGUCUAUCUUAGUGGAACAUAUCAGAACAAUACGUGAUCUUAAAUUGAACUUCCCGGAUUGAGUUUUACUUGAGUCCCAAAAGGGCCAUGCUUGAUUUAAGAUUAGUGAUGAACUAGACAUAGGGAUUCACCUUGUAGGGUAAAUAGAACCUAAGCGUGUAAUGCUAUAUCUUAUGUUGGCAUAACAAUUGAUCACUGUUAGGUUGCAUAUAGAUAUAAAAUAUCCAACAUGCGACGGCUGAGGAUACAUAAGGAUUCUGUCCAGUGCUAUAGCAGAUGCUGCAGCAACCAAGCCAAACAUUAGAAAAAUAGUCAAUACCAUUAAGAGAGUUUAUUCACUCAGCUACUAUAUACUCCCAUUAGUUUUAUCCUUGAGUUUGACGUGAUAAUUUACUUUGUUGCAUUUUAUUUAUUGUGUUUUUAUUUUAAUUAGUACAUUAGUUUCAUUAAUUGUUUAUUUUAUUUUAGCACAAAAUCUGCACUGUUAAGAUUGCUGUAGCAAAUCUGAUAACAUCAAUCCCUGUGGAGACGAUCUUGAAUACUCAUUAUUUUAUUACUUGUUGUGUAUACUUGCACAUUGACACCAAUAACAUUAGUAUUUAUACACCAACAAGUUUUUGGUGCCGUUGCCGGGGAUUGAUUGUUAAUUGUGAUUUGUGAAAUUAGUUUUAACAGUGCUAAUUUUUUAUUUUAUUUUAAUUUGUUUAUUUUGUUGAAAUAAGUGAUCUAGCAACCCUCGCAUGCGCAAAUAUAAAUCUAUUGACUUCUAGUUUGAUCCAGAAAUUGAAAGAACUGCAAGGAGAUUGAGAAGAGAGCAUCGGGAAUUACAAGCUGCUGUAGCAAUGGAUGAUUUGCAAAAUUUGAGAAACUUGAACUGUAAAGAGGGGAUACAACCAGUCAAUGUACAUGAAGGUCUGAAUGGACAAUGUGUUCAAAGGCAACCAGGGAACAACAACAUUAUUCACAUGGCGAACGAUAGAGAUAGAGCCAUUCGAGACUACGCAGUGUUGACUCCUCAGGCCAUACAUUCAAGAAUAGUUAGACCCGACAUUCAAGCUGACAAUUUUGAACUCAAACCCGUGAUGUUUCAGAUGCUUCAAACAGUGGGGCAAUUUAAUGGUGUGCCAUCCGAAGAUCCUCAUCUACACCUUAAGUUAUUUUUGGAAGUAAGUAAUCCUUUCAAGAUUGCUGGAGCAUCGUAAGAAGCAUUGAGACUCAGACUUUUUCCGUUUUUUUUAGAGAUCGAGCAAGAGCAUGGUUGAAUUCUCUACCACCAGAUUCUAUCACUACAUGGAAUGAUUUGGCUGACAAAUUUUUUAUGAAAUACCUCCCGCUAACCAAGAAUGCAAAGUUGAGGAACGAGAUCACGUAUUUCCAUCAACUUGAAGAUGAAAGCUUGUGUGAUGCAUGGGAGAGAUUUAAAGAGUUACUAGAAAAUAUCCUCAUCAUGGUAUUCCUUGCUGCAUACAGUUGGAAACUUUCUAUAAUGGUCUCAACCCAAGCACUAGAUUGAUGGUGGACGCUUCAGUAAAUGGGGCAUUGUUAUCUAAGUCUUACAAUGAGGCUUAUGAAAUUUUGGAGAGGAUAGCCAACAAUAACUAUCAGUGGCCAUCAACCAGACAAGUUGCAGCAAGAGGAACAGCAGGAGUUCAUAACAUAGAUGCCUUGACAGCAUUGUCAGCCCAAGUAACUUCAUUAACAAAAAUGGUAAAGGCUAUGACUACUGCUCCAGCAACUGUUAACCAAAUAUCUUAUAUGUCUUGCGUUUAUUGUAGAGAAUGGCAUUUAUUUGACAAUUGUCCUGGUAAUCCAGCUUCGGUUAACUAUAUGGGCAGCUUCAAUAGACAGAACUAGGACAAUCCAUAUUCAAACACUCACAACCUUGGAUGGAGACAGCACACAAAAUUUUCAUGGAGUUAUUAGAACCAGACUGCUGCAGCACCUAGUGGACAGAACAGACCUGCUCAACCACCUGGAUUUUAUCAGCAAAAUCAAGAGCAAAGAAGCAUCAACAAUGAUCAAUUCAGCUCCCUUGAAGGUUUGAUUAAGGAUUAUAUUAUGAGGAAUGAAGCAGUUGUCCAAAGUCAUACUGUAUCGUUGAGAAACAUGGAAAAUCAAAUUGGACAGCUUGCUACAGCAUUGAGCAACAGACCUCAAGGUAGUUUACCCAGUAAUACAGAGAACCCAAGAAGAGAAGGGAAAGAGCACUGCAAAGUGAUUAACUUAAGAUCUGGAAAGGAUGUUUAUAGUCCCGUUGGUGUACCAAAAAGAAGAAUUGAGUCCACCCAAGGCCAAGAAGACACUCAAGUAGAGAAAGAGUCACAAUCUUCCACUUUUCAGAAUGCAAAUCAAUACAGUUCUGCUACAACAUCUGCAGAAAGUUAUGAUCCAACACCUAGUAGUGAGGAAGCUACAACACCAACAGCAACAGACCUGAGUAGAGCAAAAGAGAAGCAGUCUGCACAACCUACUGCAGUACAAUAGUUUAGACACCCACCACCCUUCCCUCAAAGAUUUCAGAAGCAACAACAAGACAAGCAGUUCAAUAAAAUCUUAGGAGUGCUGAAACAACUACAUAUCAAUAUCCCUUUUGUGGAAGCUCUAGAACAAAUGCCAAAUUAUGCGAAAUUUUUGAAGGAUAUCUUGACAAAGAAAAGAAGAUUUGGAGAAUUUGAGACAGUUGCUCUAACACAAGAGUGCAGCCGAAUGCUUCAGAGUAAGAUACCGCAAAAGAUGAAGGAUCCAGGAAGCUUCACAAUCCCUUGCUCCAUAGGCACUAAAUACUGUGGCAAAGCACUUUGUGAUUUGGGGGCUAACAUCAAUCUCAUGCCUUUAUCAGUGUUUAAGCAAUUGGGAGUUGGUGAAUGUAGACCAACAACAGUGACUUUACAACUUGUUGACAGGUCUCAUGCAUAUCGAGAAGGGAAGAUUGAAAAUGUGUUGGUGAAGGUGGAUAAAUUUAUUUUUCUAGUGGAUUUCAUUGUGCUAGACUUUGAGGCAGACAAAGAAGUGCCAAUCAUUCUAGGGAGACCUUUCUUAGCCACGGGAAAGACUUUAAUUGAUGUUCAAAAAGGAGAAUUAACCAUGAGGGUGAAUGAACAGCAAGUGACAUUCAAUGUGCUGGAUGCUAUGAAGAGUCCCGAUGAGAUUGAAUAUUGUGAUUUUAUCAGUGUUGUGGACUUUGUUGUAGCAGAGAGAUUACACAGUUGCUGCAGUAAGGAAGAAAUCAAUGUUGUGACAUUUGAAGAACUUGAUGAUGAAGAUCAUGGAGCAGCUAACAUAGCAUGGUCAGGAGAGAAGCAACCCCUCAUAAUUGACGAGCAAAUCCAGCAAAUGGAACUCACGCCAGACCAACAAGAAUUCAAGGUUAAUGGGCCAAGAGUGAAGCACUAUAUGAGAGAUGAUGUGAACAGCCUAAAGACGAAUAUGUUCUUGAAUGAUCCAGGAUGAGCAAACAAGAAAGGUCAGACUAAAAGACCUAAAAUCAAGCGCUAAUUGGGAGGCAACCCAAUAAGGGAAGUUGUUUUAAGUUUUUAUGGCAUUGAAUUUAGCUUUUAAAUUAUUUAAUUUGUCUUUUUAUUAUUUUAAGUAUGCAUUUAAUUUUUUAUGUCUUUAUGUUACAUUGCAGCAAGUAAACAAAAUGUGGGCAAAAAGAGCAGGAGGGAAUUGCUGCCGCAUCACUUACAGCAUGACAUAUAACAGAAGAUUCUCAAACAACAGAGGCAUUUCUUGCUUUUGCAGCAGCAAAUGGAUUGAUCAGAUUUUUAUGAUAAGGAGUGUUUGAGAAGUAUAUCAAAGAAAAAGUGACCCUUUACAGCCUAUGCUAUAGCAAUGCUUCCAGCAACAGGGGAGUACCAUUACCCACUAGUUUAUUUUACUUCUUUCUGUAAAACUUUUCUUUAAUUUAGUUUUAAUUUUCUAAUUCAUUCUGCAUGUCUUUUUAUUUAGUGUAUGCAUGUCUGGUUUAUGUGGUUUUGUUUUGUGUGCUUGUGAGGACACAACACCACUCAAGUUUGGGGGGGUUGUGUUUUUUAGUGCAUGUGCUUGUGUUGUGUGAAGCUCUGUUAUCUAAUAUUUGUGUAUGGAUUUGAAAACCUAAUGAAGAUAAAUUGAGUGUUAUUCAGUAUUUAUGAGAAAGCCAAGUAGAGAUAGUUAUAGAUAAAGGUUGAACUUCUGUCCCAACACUUAGACUUUGGUUGAGUUUUAUGAGAAUGCUGUAGUAGAACCAGGAAAAAAAAAGAGUAGAAAAUAUCUCAAGUUUGGGGGAAAAUUUUUGUUGGACUGUGCCUGUUAUGAAAUAAAUUCUGCUCCAAUGGUUUAAGUUGCUGAGUAACCAGGGUUGAGUAUGCACCCUAUAUGCAAACUUGAGUCCAAAGGCAACACGAGCUACGAGCAGUGCUGCAGCAAAAGCAAAAAAAAAAAAGAAGAAAAGCAAAAAAAAAUGAUGAUAAAGAGGUCCGCUACCUAGGAUACUGAGUAACCUGGUCUGUUCAUGAGUCCCAUGUUCAGCCUUGAGUCAAAGGUGUCCAAAGGUAUGACCUAGAUAUAACAUCCCAAAUGCGUUGCUGUAGCAACUCCGACAUGUACUUUGAAUGAGUAAUUGGGUGUCGUCAUUACAAGUGAUAGGCAUUCACAUGAAAGCUCAAUGUUGCAUUGAAAGGUUUAACUGGAAAAAACAAGUAUUAUUAUUGUAGCAUAGUUUGAGUUUAUUUGUGAAUUCUACUCCCCUAUAUGUGAAUAUCUUUGGUUCUAUCUAUGAAUUAUAUGUCUAUGUAAUGUUGUAGCACCUCUGGAAUUUGAUCAAAGUGGCACACACACACUCUGGACAGAAUAAAGCCUAAGUCUAGAACUAGAUUGCUAUGGCUAUUUUGCAUGAUUAAGAGUGUGAUCUGAGGGUGGAAGAAUCCUUGCAAAUCUGAUGACAGAGCUAAGUUAUUUGUUGCAUGAUUGUGUGAUUGAAGUGUUAGCAUUAUUGUCAUUACUUGAGGACAAGUAAGGGUUUAAGUUUAAGGGUGUGAUAACUCUAUGAAAUGAAAGUUAUCAUGGCACUUUUAGGCUUAAAUCAAUACUACUUAGAGAGUAAAUUAUGUGUUUCUAUUGCAUUUUUGUUACAUUUUGCAUAAAUAAUCAUUUUAGUCAGUCUUAAUAAGUUUUGCUCGAUUUAAAGUAAUUUGUGCUCAAAUUGUGUGAAUAAUUGUAGGUUUCUAGAAGCUUAUAAUUCAUGAAAGGAAUGCUAUGCAAUAGGCUUGCAAAAAUAAGGAAGAGCAUGGCUAUAAAAGAAUUGAAACAAAUUUGGAACAGUACAGUUGCUGUAGCAACCAUUACUAUAGCCAUUGCUAUAGCAAUCCUGGAACAACGACGGAGAAAAUUCCGCGCGGGAUACUUGCAGAAUUGCGAUCUGCAGUUUCCUAAUCUGACUUAUGCGCGCCCUGGGCUUCCGUUUACCCUAAUUUUUAACUAUAAAAGAAGCACACAUCAUAAGGAUUAAAGAGAGCCGUCACCCAAGGAGGAAAACAAAAAGAAAUAAAAGAAAAACAAGAUUCAAGAGAGAGAUUAAGGGCUGCACAAGAGGAGAAUUUGCAUAAAUCAAUUGGGAGCUCAAUCCUUCUUAUUCUUCUCUUAUUUUCUCAUUUUCUAUUUAUUUAUGGGGAUGUGUUUCAUGGCUGAAACUUUGUUCUUUAUUUUUCUUUUACAAACCAUGAACUAAAUUUAUUUGUGGUUGAGUGAUAAACAAUCUUGAUGGUUUAUUGACUGAAUAUAUGUGUUGCUGCAUGUUUGUUGUAGUAGUUUAUUUUUAUAGUAUUUAUUUUAUUCAUUAUUUCGGUUGAUCACCCAUUUAAUAAUACAAGUUAGGAGAGAGCAGCAAAAUGGCCUAUCUUAGUGGAACAUAUUAGAACAAUACUUGAUCUUAAAUUCAGUUUCCCGAAUUGAGUUUUACUUGAGUCCCAAAAGGGCCAUGCUUAAUUUAAUAUUAGUGAUGAAAUAGACAUAGGGAUUCACCUUGUAGGAUAAAUAGAACCUAAGCGUGUAAUGCUAUAUCUUAUGUUGGCAUAACAAUUGAUCACUGUUAGGUUGCAUAUAGAUAUAAGAUAUCCAACAUGCGACGGCUGAGGAUACAUAAGGAUUCUGCCCAGUGCUAUAGCAGAUGCUGCAGCAACCGAGCCAAACAUUAGAAAAAUAGUCAAUACCAUUAAGAGAGUUUAUUCACUCAACUACUAUAUACUCCCAUUAGUUUUAUCCUUGAGUUUGACGUGAUAAUUUACUUUAUUGCAUUUUAUUUAUUGUGUUUUUAUUUUAAUUAGUACAUUAGUUUCAGUAAUUGUUUAUUUUAUUUUAGCACAAAACCUGCACUGUUAAGAUUGCUAUAGCAAAUUUGAUAACAUCAAUCCCUGUGGAGACGAUCUUGAAUACUCAUCAUUUUAUUACUUGUUGUGUACACUUGCACAUUGACACCAAUAGCAUUAGUAUUUAUACACCAACAACUACUUCUUUCUUUGCCAAAAUAUCUCUUACAAAAUUGUAUUUAGUCUCAAUGUGUUUCGAUUUGGUAUGGUAUUUAGCAUUAUUAGAGAAAUGGAUAGUAGCUUGAUUGUCACAAUAGAUAGUCACUAGAUUAUCAUUGAUAAUAUUAGUCUCUAAGUUCUCUAUAAAUCUCUUAAGUCACAUAACUUUUUGCACUGUUGCAGAACAUGCAAUAUAUUCGGCUUCCACCGUUGAUAAAGUCGUGCAUGUUUGCUUCUUGCUACUCCAUGUAAUUGUUCCUCUAUUUAGCAGGAAUACAUAUUUUGAAGCUGAUUUACGCUAAUCCAGAUCACCACCCUAGUCGGUGUCUGAAUAUCCAACAAGCCGCAAACGACCUCCUUGAUAGCAUAAACAAUAAUUUGCAGUGCAUUUGAGAUAUGCUAAAAUCCUUUUAACAGUACUCCAAUGCUUCUGACCAGGAUUAGACUGGUAUCUACCUACUAGUCCUACAACAUAACUAAUAUCAGGCAUUGUACACAUUAUGACACACUUAAGACUUCCAAUGGCAUUUGCAAAAGGAACUCUAAUCAUUUUUUCUUUUUCUUGAGGAGUCUUGGGACACAUAUCGAGACUAAGAGAUUGUCCUUUAGCUAUAGGGGUAUCCUUGUGCUUACAAUCAGCCACAUUGAAUCUUUCAAUGAUCUUCUUAAUGUAAGACUCUUGUGACAGAGCCAUAAUUUUCCUUGAACGAUCCUUAAAAAUUUUGACCCAUAAGAUAUAAGUUGCUUCGCCGAUAUCUUUCUUGUCAAAAUUUGAAUGUAGCCAAUCUUUAAUAAUUUUCACAAACUCUUUACUAUUUGCUGCCAAUAAUAUAUCGUCCAUAUACAAAGUCAAUAUCGUAAAAGCGUCUUUAUGUCUCUUAAUGUACACACAAUGGUCUUCCUUAACCAUCCUAAAGCUAAGAAACUAUAGCUUGAUAGAAUUUAAGGUUCUAUUACAAGUGGGCAUAUUUUAACUAAACCUAUCCAAACCGAUCCCGACCAUUUGGAUCGGUUUCAUUAGUAAAAAAACUAGUUUUGGUUUAUUAGAUUGCAAACCGACAUCACUCGAUUUGGAUUUCAGCAAAUCGAUCCAAUCCAGAAAAUUUAAAAAGCUUUAAGACAUAUGAUGUGUCAAUUUAUUAUUGGAUUAUUAACAGAAGAAAUGUACACUUUCAUACACAAUAGCACACUUCUUAUUAUAAAAACAAAAACACAAAAACCUAAUUGUCCAACACUCACAGCUGCCUUCACCUCCAGUGCCUCCUAUCAUUCUCAACUCUCUCAAUCUCAAUCGCUCAUUCUCAAGUCUCAGAGUCAUAAUUUUAAAAAUCGAAACAAAAGGGCAUGUUUUGAUUUUAUUUUUCUUGCUACAAUUUUAUUUUAUUUUAGUCAAAAGUUAAAGUGGAUUUUGGUAUAAUUGAUGAUAAUUUAUUUGAUUAAUUGAUUCCAUAGCUAUUUUUUUUUUAAUCUUUAUUAAUUAAAGAAGCUCUCAACAUGGAAGAUAAUUCCAAUGUGAAUAAUAUCAUAGAAAAUGGAGAAAUAGUGAUGGAUGAUUUUCUAGAACCUAAAAGUAAGAAAUCUAGAACAUGGGGUGGUCGUCUUCAUGACAGUGAAAGGGGUUCAAAAGUUUGGCCUCAUUAUAUCAAAGAUUAAGUGAAUAGGACAUGUAAGUGCAAAUAUUGUGGGAAGUAGUAUAAGUGUGAUAGUAAGUUUAAUGAGACUUUUAAUUUGUGGACUCACUUAAGAGAACAAUGUGAAAAAUAUUGGGCUACUUUAGAUUAUGUGACUCAAGUUAAACUAGCUCGCUUCCGUGAUAAGAAAAAAAAGUCUAAUAUGGCAAGUGGUAGUGGCACUAGGAAUAUUGUGUAUGGUAUUGGGUUGGGGCUUGCUGGAAAGUUUGAUCAUGAGGAUUGUAGGAAGAAUGUGGCAAUAUAUUUUAUUCUUAAUGAGGUUUCAUUUAGGAAGGUAGAGUCUUAUGGGUUUCAUCUUUUGUGCGAUAAACUUUGUCCUAGAUUUGGCCCACCUUCUAGGGGAACACUUGUUAGAGAUAUAUAUCAACUGUAUUUAGUUGAGAAUGCAGCAUUAAAAAAUAUUUUUAUUGCAAAUAAGUAUAGAGUUUCUAUUACCACAAACAUUUGGACUUUCAUACAAAAUUUUAAUUAUAUGUUGUGACAACCCAUUGGGUUGAUCAUAAUUGGAAAUUGCAUAAGAAAAUUUUGAAUUUUUUUUCCAAAUAACAAGCCACAAAGGGGACUUAAUCGGCAACCUUAUUGAAAAAUGCUUACUUGAUUGAGGUAUAGAAAAAGUGAUGAUUGUUAUAGUUGAUAAUGUGAGUUCUAAUGAUGUUGCUAUCAAUUAUUUGAAAAAAAAAAUUGAAAAAUUGGAAGGGUGAUGCAAUGAUUUUAGAUGGAGAUUAUUCACAUUUGUGGUGUUGUGCCCAUAUUGUUAAUAUAAUUGUGAUUGAAGGGCUGAAAGAGAUGCAUGACUCAAUUUCUAGCAUUUGCAAUGCAAUUAUAUAUGUGAGGUCUUUUGGUUUGAGGUUGCAUGUUGUAGGUUUUCUAAUGCUAUUGAUGUCAAUGUGCAAGUGUACACAAUAAGUAAUAUAAUGAUGAGAAUUCAAGAUUGUCUCCAUAUGUUGUUAUAGGAAUUGCUACAGCAAUUUUAUUAGUACAAUUUUUUUCCUAAACAAGAAUUAAAACAAAUUAUUAAACUAAUGAAAUAAUAAAAAUAAAAACGCAAUAAGAAAAAUGCAAUAAAGUAAAAUACCACAGCAAAUACAAGGAUGUUCCCAAGGGGAAUGGAGUAGUUGAGCGAUUAAACUCACUUAAUGGUUUUGACUAUUUUUCUAAUGUUGGCUCGAUUGCUAUAGCAUUUGCUACAGCACUGGGCGGAAUCCUUAUGUAUCCUCAGCUGUCGCAUGUUGGAUAGCUUAUAUCUAAAUGCAACUUAACAGUGACCAAUUGUUAUGCUAACGUCAGAUAUAGCAUUACACAUUUUAAAUUCUAAUUACUCUACAAGAUGAAUCCCUAUAUCUAGUUCAUCACUAAUUUUAUAUUAAGCAUGACCCUUUUCAAAUCAAGUUAAACCCAACUCAGGAAACUCAAUCUAAAACCAAGUAUUGCUUUGAUAUGUUCCACUAAGACAAGUCUUUUUUAAGCUCUUUCUUAACUAGUAUCACUAAAUGGGUGGUCAACCGAAAUAGUAAAUUGAAAUAAGUAUUAUCAAAACAACGUGCUAUAGCAAAUAUGCAACAACACAGAAUAUUAGUCAAUUAACCAUCAAGUUUGUUCAUUACUCAACCACAAGUAAAUUUAGUUCAUAAUUUUUGAUAAAACAAGAAGUAAAAUAGUUUCAGCCAUCAAACAAUUCAUCAUAACGAGAUAGAAACAAGAGAACAAAAAAUAAGAGUGAGAUCCGCUUGAUGUUCUUCUCGAAUUCCUUAGUUGCAGCCCCCAAUUCUCUCUCUUGAUCUUUGUUUUUUCUUGUGUUGUUUAUCUAUUUUUCUUCUCCAAUGACGACUCCCUUUUCUUUGCGUGUGUGCUCCUUUUAUAGCUCAGAAUUAGGGCAACUGGAAGCCUAGGACGUGCAUCUUCUAAUUUAGAAAACUCCAGACUGCAAACUUCAAAGUAUCUCGCGCGAAAUCUUCUCUGUCAAUGCUCUAGAAUUGCUAUAACAACGAUGCUACAACAACAGUGCUACAACAAUGGCUUCAGCAUCUGCAUUGUUCCAGACUUGUUUCAAUUCUUCUCUAAUUAAGUUCUUUCCUUAUCUUUACAAGCCUAUUGCAACCGUAUUCCUUUCUUGAAAUUUGAGCUUUCGGUCACCUAUAAUUAUGCAUAUGAUUUAAGUACACAAUUUAUUCUGAAUCAAACAAAACUUAUUAAAAGUAAACUAAAAUGGAUGUUUAUCCAAAACAUUACUAAAAUGCAACAAAAAUAUGUCAUUUACUCUCUAAGUAAUCAUGAUUUAAGUCUCAAAGUGUCAUGAUAACUCUCAUUUCAUAGAGUUAUCAUUAUAAAUUUAAAUCAUGUGUUGAGAGAGAGAAAUUUGAAUAUAAAGGGCUUUUAGCAUAUGAUGUGCCCACUAGAUGGAAUUAUAUCUACACUAUGUUGUCCAGAGCUAUAAACUUUCAGAAAGCUUUUGAAAGUCUGGAAGAAGAGGAAUAUGAUGGACCAAAGCUUUUUUCAAUGAGAGGAAAGCAGAACAUAUCAGGCCACCCACAGCUGAAGAUUGGAAAAUGCUGCAAUAUUUAUCAAGUUUUUGAAAUUUGUGAAUAAUGUUACAAUUGAUUACAAUGCUUUAUUAUCUGUCAUGUCUAACUUGUAUUUUCAUCAUCUUUGCACCAUUCAAACCUAGUUGCAUUCAUUUAUUGAAAAAAAGGAGGUGCUUCUUAGUAAAAGGGCAGAAAAAAUGAAAAUAAAGUAUGAAAAGUAUUGGGGUUCUGUGGACACUAUAUAUCAGCUGUUUAUCAUUGUUGUGGUACUUGAUCUAAGGUAAAAAUCUGUUAUUUCAUUUGAUUUUUUAUUUUUUAUGAUAAAAUCAAUUGUGAUAAUUAUUUACUCCAAUUCAUUUCAUAUCUAAGGUACAAAUUGGAUUAUGUGUCAUUUUGCUUUGAAAAUUUGCAUAAUCCUGAGAAAGCGAAAGAAAUUACAUCAAACAUUAAGAAGCUACUUUUAAAGGUGUAUUCUUUGAAAUACUAACUAGGCAACCCAAGAGGGGGGUGAAUUGGGAUUUUAAAAAUUAAGCUAAGCAAACCACACAACAAUCUAAUCUAAUGCCUUAAUAAAUUCGAAAACAAUAAAUUCAAUGAAAGCACAAUAAUAAAUGAGCAAGGGAAGAGAAAGAAAACUCAAGGAUUUUUACGUGGUUCGGCAAUCCCCGCCUACGUCCACGCCUCCAAGCACACCGGGCUUGAGGAUUUCACUAUCCGAGUCUUUCCAAGGCUUCAAAUGUUUACAAUUGACUUCAAGGUGUCAAUGAACCUUUACAACAAAAUAUUAUCUCUCCAAUCUCUUCACCCCAAGUGUUUCUCACACUUGUACACUCACAAUUUGAUGAGAAAUGAAAAUUACAAUAAUGAAACUCUCUUUAAGAGUGGAUAUACAAAUUGAAGAACAAAGAUGAUUUAAUAAAUGAUGAUUUACGAAAUUGAAGCUCAAUAUAUGUUGUGUGCACUUGUUUUUGCUUGCCAAGAUUUCCAAAAUUGAAUUGGUUUUGAGUUUAUAUAGUUUGAACUCAAAAAACUAGCCGUUAUGCACAUUUUGGUCAUAACCGGCUUACCAUUUAGGAAUCCGGUAAGCCGCUUUUAUGUUACCGUUAAGGCAAAAAUUUGAAUUUCAAAAUAUCCGGUAAGCCGCAUUUCAUAUCCGGUAAGCCACUUUUGAAAUCCGGAUUGCCGCUUGCGAAAUCCGGAUAGCCGUUUAUGCUCCAGAAGCUUACUGCCCAAAAUCUGGAUUGCCGUUUACUAUAUCCGGUAAGGCACUUGCUACAAUGAUUGCUACAGUGAACUAUUUUUUAAAAUUACUGUUUGGCCCCAAAACUUUCCAUAAUUGUAUUAUGGCCUAAAACGUUAUGAAAAUUUGCAAAUAGGUUCAAUUUUAGAAUUUCUAAGCAAUGCUUUGUUAAUCUCAAAACUUUUUGAAAUUAUGGUAUAGCCUAAAAUGCUAUGACACUUUUCAAACAAGUCUUUCUCUAAAAUUUCAAACAAUACUUGUUGAUUUCAAAGUUUUCAAAACUCUUUCAAUUAAAUCAUAAACUUGAAAAACAACUAAUUUCAUAAAAUCAUUUUUUCAUGAAAUAUAAAACCUUUAUAGUGUAAAAAUAAUGAUUUAUUUAAAAUGUAUAAAAAAUAAUUUGAGCUUAAAAGAUUAAUCAUUCUUAAUCUUGUUUGUUAUCAUCAAAAUCAACAUUAUGAAAACAUAUAUGUUAACAUUCUUAAACUUUCAAAUUAGAUUCAGUUAUAACACUAGUUACUUUAUUUUUUUUCUGUAAAAUGUAUUCAUAUUUACUUAAAUUUAUUUUCAUAGCUAUAUAAAACCUAUUGUCUUGUAGAAUCUACUUCUGGUGAUGGUAGCCAAUCUACUAAUGAUGUUUUGGCAAUUGAUGUGGGUUUAAGAAGGAAAAGUGGCAAGGUCUAUGCAUUUAUUAAUACAAAGACUCAAUAUAAGCAGUUAAAAGUGCAGAAAGAUUCCAUUGAUUUGAAAAAUGAGGUAGAAAGGUAUUUGUUCUAACCUAGCGAGGAUGAAACUGAUGAUUGGUUUGAUGUUUUGGGUUAGUGGAUUGCAAAUAGUGCAAGGUUUGGGACUUUGUCACAAAUUGCAAAGGAUGUGUUAGCAAUUCCUGUAUCUACUGUGGCUUCUGAAUCUACUUUUAAUACUGGAGGUCGUGUAGUCUAUGCAUUUCGAAGUUCAUUAACCCCUACAAUGGUUGAGACUUUGAUAUAUAGUCAACAAUGGCUUAAAGCAUCUGGUAUGGAUGAAAAAUAUAUUAGGAAGUUUGAUGUAGAAGUAUUAGCAUCAUACUUUAGUGAUUUGGAAUUAUGUACGUCUGUGGAGCAAGGUACCUAUGUUUUACAUAUAGUAUAAUUAUAUUAUUUUCUAAGUUAAGCAAUCUAACCAAUCAUUUUGUCAUUUUAUGCAGAUUUUGACAAAUCAAAAGUAAUUGGGCCAUAAGUUUUGAUGGACAAGAUGCACGAUAUUUUGAUUGUCAAAUGUUGUUCAAGUUUAUUUUAAUUUUGUGAGUUUGUUUUGAAUGAACAGGUUGAGAACUUCUUUAUUAUGAUGUAUUCUGUUAUGAACUUGUAUGGAUGUAUCUUUGAAUUGUUAUGUAGAUAUGAAUAAUAUAAAAGAGAUAUCAAUUUAGAUUAUGGACACAAAAAAUAACAAAUAAUUUAGGUACAACAAUAUAAAAGAGGUGGGCUUUUAGCUAAUAAUCUCAAACCAAGAAAAAAACCAAUCCAGUCGGUUUGGUUUAAAAAAAUUUUCGGUCGAUAUCAGUUUAGAUCGGUUUGAUAAUUUGUCUCAAAUUGAUCCAAACCAAAUUUGCCUACCUCUCAGUUCCAUUAUCUAGAGAAAUGCAAUAUUUACAUCCAUCUGAUGUAAUUCAAGGUCUAGAUGUACAAUAAUGACCAAAAUUAAUUGUAUAGAAGCAAACCUUACCAUAGGAGAAAAGGUUUCUUUAUAGUUUAUUCCCUCCUUUUGGGUAUAGCCUUUAGCGACUAAUCUUACUUUGUAUCUCUCGAUUGUCCCAUCCACUUUACGUUUUAUAUGGAGAACCCAUUUAUUUCCGAUAGUUUUAUGAUUAGGCAGAAAUUCAAGCAAGUCCCAAACUUGAUUAACGUUCAUAGAUUCUAUCUCUUCUUCCAUUGUUUUCAUCUAUAAAUCCUUAGCAGACGAUGUGAGAGCUUUAUUAAAAGUAUUUGGCUCUUCACUAUCGUGUGAAGUAAUCAUAAAACGUCUCCCUCAAUCUCAAAAUGACGACAAGGAAUUGACUUACGACUACUCUUCUGAGUUGAUUCCCUAAUUCGAAUCGAAGUGUCCGAUGUUUCACUCCCACUCAGAGUAACAAUCCCCAGAGGAUUCGCACUAAUGCCAAUAUCAACAUUAGAAGUGAUAACCCCAUUUGGAUCUUCUAAUUCAUAAAAUUGAAAAUCCUUAUCCACUUCUUCAAUGCUAGAAAAUUCAUUUUCUAAAAAACUGACAUUUGUUGCAACUUUUUCUUGUAUUAUUAGUAUCAAUGUGCAAGUGUACACAAUAAGUAAUAUAAUGAUAAAUAUUCAAGAUCGUCUUCACAUGGAUUGAUGUUAUCAGAAUUGCUAAAACAAUCCUGAACAGUGCAACUUGUGUUCUAAAUUAAGACUAAAUAAUUAAUGAGACUAAAUAACUAAUUAAACUAUAAAAUGUAAUAACUAAAAAGGCAAUAAAUAAAAUUUUCAUGUCAAACACAAGAAUAAAGCCAAUGAGAAUAGAGUAGUUGAAGGAUUAAACUCUCUUAAUGGUUUUGACUGUUUCUUCUAAUCUUUGGCCUGGUUGCUACAACAUUUGUUACAGCACUGGGCAAAAUCAUAUUGUAUCCUCAACUGUCGCAUGUUGGAUGUCUUAUAUCCUUAUGCAACCUAAUAGUGACCAAUUGUUAUGGUAAUAUAAGAUAUAACAUUACACAUUUAGGUUCUAUUUACCCUACAAUGUGAAUUCGUAUGUCUAAUUCAUCACUAAUUUUGGAUUAGGCAUGGCCCUUUUGGAAUCAAGUAAAACUCAACUCAACUCAAGAAACCCAAUCUAAAACCAAGUAUUACUCUGAUAUGUUACAUUAAGAUAAGCCCUUUUGUAGCUCUUUCUUAGCUUGUAUCAUUAAAAUGAGUGGUCAGCCGAAAUAAUGAAUAUAAUUAAAUAUCAUCAAAAUAAAAUGCUAUAGCAAGCAUACAACAACACAUUUAUACAGUCAAUGGACCAUCAAGAUUAUUUAUCACUCAACCACAAAUAAAUUUAGUUUAUAAUUCGUAAAAGAAACAUGAACAAUAGAGUUUUGGUCAUCAAAUGCAUUCUCAUGAUUAAAGAAUAAACAAGAAAACAAGAGAAGACUAAGAAAGACUGAGUUCCCGAUUGAUUUCUGUAAAUUCUCCUCUGAUGCAGCCCUUAAUUUUGCUCUUGAAUUAUGUUUUUCUUUUAUUUCUUUUCGAUUUUUGUUCUUGGUUGACGGCCUCUCUCUUCCUUUGCAUGUGUGCUCUUUUUAUAGAUAAAAAUUAGGGCAACUGAAAGUCUAGGGUGUGUAUCUUCCAGAUUUGGAAACUCCAUAUCUCAAUCUUUUAAGUGCCUCACAUGAAAUCUUCUCUGUCAAUGCUCUAACAUUGCUACAACAAUGUCUGCAACAUCUGCAUUAUUCCAGACUUGUUUUAAUUCUUCUGCAGCCAUGUUCUUUCAUUCAUUUUGCAAGCUCAUUGCAACAACAUCUUUUCCUUGAAAUUCAAACUUCCAAUUACCCACACUUAUGUAUGUGAUUUAAGCACACGAUUAUUCAAACCCAAACAAAAUUUACUAGAAUUAAACUAAAAUGGCUGUUAAUGCAAAAUAUCAUUAAAAUGUAAUAAAAACACAUUAUUUACUCUCUAAGAAAUCUUGAUUUAAGUCUAAAAAUGCAAUGAUAACUUCAUUUCAUAAAGUUAUUAACAUCCCGUGAUUCCAGUUCAGUUAAAAAUCCACUUUCAUGUUCACCAAUGAACACAUAUUGUUUGGAGUGUUCUGAGUAUCUAAUAAAGAUACGCUUUUUACUUCUAGCUCCUAAUUUCCCAAACUUAUGAAUGGAGUUAUAAACAUAAGCUGCAGACCCCCAAGGUCACAAAUGAAAUAGGUCAGGUUUCCUAGCCGUCUAUAACUCAUAUGAGUAGAACUAACUGAUUUUGAAGGAACUAGGUUAAAUAUACAGGCAGCAGUUAACAAUGCAUCUCCCUAAUAUGAUAUUGGAAUAUUUGAGUGUGCCAUUAUUGACCUAACCAUUUCUAAAAAAGUUAUAUUCCUUCUUUCCGCCAUACCAUUUUGUUGCAGAGUUUCAAGAAUAGUCAACUGUCUAUUUAUUCAUUUCUCACUACACAGUUCCUUGAACUAUUUUGAAAGGUAUUCAUGUCAUCAGUCAGUCCUUAGAACUUUAACAUUAUUAUCUAUUUGAUUCUCUACCAUGUUUAGAUAUAAUCUAAAGCAAUCCAAUGCUUCUGAUUUAUAAGAAAUCAAGUAGACAUGACCGAAACUUGAAUAAUCAUCAAUGAAUGUUAUAAAAUAUGAGGCUCCAUGUUUAGCCCUUACAUUCAUUGUAUCACAGAUGUUAGAAUGGAUUAAUUGUAAUGAUUUUUCAACUCUAAUUCCUUUGUCAAAUGGUUUUCUAGUUGUUUUUUCAGCUAAACAAUUCUCACAUAUGGGCAAUUCAACCUUGGUAAGUAAACCCAAUAUGCCCUUUCUCGUAAGUCUAUUCAUUCUUUUUUGCCCUAUGUGACCUAAUCAAGCAUGCCAAGUAAUAACAUCUAUUUUAUUAUUACUUAAAGAAGUAGCAUAUGAAAAAUAAUUAUUAUCAUAACUUGAAUUAUCAGGUAUUGUAUCUAAUAUAAUAAAACCAUUAACGAAAUGCCAGUUCUAAUAAGGACUAAAUUUAAGAAAAUCUCCAAAAAAAAAUCAUAAAAGUUUAAAUUAUAUCCUAAUUCAAGAAGAACAAGAAUAGAAACCAAGUUUCAUCGAAUCUCUAGUGCAUAUAGGACAUCGUGUAAUAAAAGAAUACGUCCACCAUGCAAAGUCAAUUUGUAGGUGUCUAUUCCUUUUGCUUCAACCCUGGAGUUGUUGCCCACGUAUAUCCAUUUAGUCCCUUGACUAAUUUGGUGAUACUCUACAAACGCAUUUUGAUCACGAGCUAUAUAGUCUGUUGAUCCUGAGUCUACAGUCUACAUAGGACGAGAAUCAAUUAGGAGUACAUAACUCAUAACUAACACAAAAUUUAAUAAAGUGGAGUUGGGCUCAGUGCACUCGCGAGCAAAGUGAUCGGGCUCACUACAAUUAUAGUAUUUCAUCUUAGAUUUGUCAUUUUUCUUGUUAGUGCGUCUACCCCUUGGGCGCUUCUUAGCAUCUGAAUUCCUCUUAUUAGGAUCAGAUUUCUUACCCUUCUGGUUAUAAUUAUGACCCUUUUGUACUUGAAGCUUGAAGCUUUGUGCGAAUUUGAUUCGGUCAUAUAAACACGAUCAAAAAGCUUAGUUGCCUCAAGGCGCUUUACUUCUAAUUCUAGGUGAUGUUCUAUGUCAUUGAAAGUUCUAAUACUUUCAUUAUGAGUCAUAUUCACCAUCAUGUGCAGCCAAGAAUCAGGUAGAGAUCUUAUUACUUCCUGGACUUGUUGUUCAUCAGUCAAAAUAUGUCCAGCAGCCUUAAGUUCGCAAAUCAUGUUUGACCUCUCCCUCAGCUGCUGCCUCAUAAUAUGAUUUUGGCAAUUCCGAGAAGAAUCAAACUUGAUCAUAAGCCUUGCAAUUUAGUAGUCGAAGUGCCACUGAACUUAUCUUUUAGAGCGAGCCACAUCUGUUGAGCAGUCUCUUAUAGCCUCUUCUACUAUAGUAGCGGAGUUCAUAGCAUGUAACGAGACAUCCAAUCACAGAAUAUGGCUAAGGAAUUACGUCACAGAGUUACACAUUUUAGAUGUUAUUGAUAGACCACUUAAGUUAUUAUGUGACAAUAAGUUAGCAGUGCUAUAUUCCAAUAACAAUAGGAGCUCGACGAAGUCACAGUAUAUAAACAUCAAGUUCCUAGUUGUUAAAUAAAGAAUUCAGAGUGGAAAAUUGUCUAUAAAGCAUAAUGGUACAAAAUUCAUGAUCACGGAUUCGCUUACUAAGGGAAUACCAUCUAAAAUUUUUCAUAAGUACACCGUUCAUAUAAGUGUCGUGUCAUUAAAGGAUAUUCAUUUUUAAUGGGAUUUUGUAAAUUUCAAAUGUUCUUAUGAUAUAAACAUUUUUCGGUUUAGGGAUAUUUAAGGUUAUUUUCUGCAGAAAUAAAGUUUUGGUUUAUUCAUUCACACUAAUUUUUAUAUGAUUUGAUCUCACUAAAGUUUAAGGCGGAUCAAUUGGAAAUAGGCAUGUUAAGAUCACAUUACAUGAAAUUUCCAUCCUACACGCCCAUAUCAUGAUCUAUGUCAUUCAGUUAUAUUGGCAUAGUGAGCAUUGAUGGGUCAAGUUACGAUAGUUGUAACAAAGGUCGUUUUGAUCCUUUGUUGAUAUGAUUGAUGGACCGAAUUGACUAUAGAUACAGUUUAGUAAUGACAGUAAAGUUGAGCUCAUAUGGUUAUUUUUGCAAAGUAUAAUUAUAAGGUUACAUAUAUAGCCCAAGUGAAAGGUUGUUGGAUCUUUAAUCUAGCAUUGUUAGAUCCUUGAUCCAAUGUUGGGUUUAUAUGUGAAUAAUUAUAUGUUGUGAACUAUUAUAUAAGAUUAAGACAAAUUAAAAAUGAUCUAUUAAGGUUUUCGAUAAUUUGGGCUUUAAUGUAUCUAAUCAAUUGUGGGCCUUUAAUGUACAGAGACUUAAGACUAAUUUCUAUUUCCAUGAUGGGUUGGAAUAAGAAUACAUAAAGACAAAAGAAAAAUUUGUUUAUAUAAAUAGUUAUUGUCCGUAGGUCACACGUAUCGUUCUAUUCUCUGUUGACAUCUUAUCAUUAGAGAGAGUGCACAGAGAAGUUUAAAGGAUUCUCUAGGAGAAUCUGUUAAUUUGGAAGACAAACUACUAGACUCUAGAGACAAAUUGUGCAUUAUACUAGUCUUGAACAUGUUCAAUUCUCAAGGCAUCCAGAGGAGAUUUGCCCCUAAGCUUGCGAGCACACAAGUUCCUGAAGUAUUCUUCAACUGUCACUCUUUUAAACAAUAGAGGAUUAUUUUCAGAGACCAAAUUGGACGUAGGGUACAUUUCACCAUCAUAUAUCACUAAGUAAACUGUGCCAAUGGAAAGUCUUCCUUGUAUAGAGUUUACAAUUACACGAUGCUCAAUGCUACGGUAUGUCCCAUUGGUUACAAUCUGCCAUGUAAAAAUUAUUAAAGCACAUGAGCAGGCUCAUAUAAAUGCCAAGUUAAGUAUUUUACUAUAAUUAUUACCUCCAGUGUGUCUCCAAUGUCGACAAUGAAAGCAUUAGGGAGUGGAGCAACAGGAAUUAAUGAAAGCACACAUUAGCUAGCUCAUAUGAAUGUCAAGUUAAAAUAACUUAUCAUAAUAAUUACCUCCAACACGACUCCAAUGUUGACAACGAAAGCAUUUGGAAAAGGUGUAACAGGAAUCCACUUUCCAUCCUUCUUGAUCUGGAGACCUUCUACUUCAUUGAUUUCCAGCAGAAUGGUAAGAACAGAGUCAUCUGAAUGAGUUGUGAGGCCCACAACCUUCUCCGGCUGAGGACAUGGAGGGUAAUAGUUCAUCCCCAUUGAUUGGAAACCAUUUUCAAAGUAUUCUCUCAAUUCUUCAUCUUUGAUAUUUAGAACUUUUCCCAUUUUCAAUACCAGGUUCAUGGCCAGAGAUUUUUAACUCCACUGAAUAAAUUCCAAGAUUUCCUACAAGAAAAAAGAAGAUGCAAUUAAAAGGUUUAGUACAUGAUUGUGGUGGAUUGUUAAACAAGUUAUUAUUUAACAGUAUUCUUUCAUGUUUGGUUGUCAAAUUUUACUAAAUAUAACUGACUUGGGAUCUUUCUCUGAACAUAAUACAUUUGCAAUCAUCAAAUAACUGACUAGAGAGAGAAAAAGAGAAACCUGAGGGGUAAAGAGGGAGCUUAGGAAACAAGUGGGGUUUCCUCAGAUGAAUUGGAAGAGUUGUCAUGAAGAAAAUGUCAAUCCAAUCAACCUUUUGUUCCUCGGAUAUAACACAUGCUUGUCCAAAUCCUUCCAUAUUUGUUAGAUUUCAAUAAACUAAUAGAAUCACAUUUGCAUUAUACUCCAUCAUAAAUUUGCUUAUAGUUCUUCUCAAGCUAUCGUAAGCCUAGACAUCUGAAAGAUAUUAAAGACAAUUUAAUUUUCAAGAAUGCAGGUUUGUCUUCUCAGCUAUACAAGAAAGCAAGUUAGAUGGUCCAUAAUCGGACAAGGUCAGUUACAUCCCUCAAUUUUCAAAAAAAAAAAAAAAAAGGAGUGCUUAAACCGGCUUGGUUAAGACUAUCUAGACUCAAAUUUUGUUACAGCUUUCUUAUUGCUAACUUACAGAGUAAGAAAGCAUUGAUACAGAGUAGGCCAAAUUUGUGGCCUACUUGACCUAUAAGAAUGAAACACAAUCUAAUCUGAAUUUGAUCGACUGUACUUUUUGAUUGAGAGUAUAUAGAUUUCUUAAUUCUUGACGCCAGACUACUAUUAAUAAACCAAGCAUGUCCAAAUGAAAAAAUACAAACUUGGGUGCCUCACGACAGGUGUAGCUUAGCUGGUUGUGAAUGUAAUUCGCAAUUUGCAGAUAUCUGCGCUCGAGUAACAAUAUGGGACAAACGGUGGUAUUUACUAGAUGAGGUCUCAUCCCAAGCAAAUCCUUUAAAAGCAAAAUAAUAAUAACUUGGCAAAGGAGUUUACCUAGAAAGAAGCCCAUUCUUUGCAAGCGAAGUGGAGCCUGGACAACUCAGAAUCCAUUGACUCUUCAGAAAACAAGCUCUGCAAUACCCGUGAAUCCAAAUUAUUAUCAGAAAUUGUGGUUAAAUCUUGGCCUGGUCGUAUGUAUCUGGGAGGGAUAGCUAACAUAGGGUUCUUGGCCAACUCUUGAACACAAGGCACAGGCAGAGAACCUCCGAACUUGGCCUUCUUUUUGUUCCACAAAUUCUCUCAACAAUAAUGCUCCAGAGUUUUAUUGACAAAGCAAAUGUUGAAAAUGUAUUAUUUUCAACAAGUCAUUAUUUGCUGUGGCCUUGUGUGAGACUAAUCCACCAUUGCGGGUCUAGGGUUGGCCCAUAGAUAUUUUGUGAAUAUGACAGUUGCAGUCUGCUGUUGUGUUGCUGUCUGCUGCGAAUUAUAAAAAAGAUAGUGCAUUGCCUUCACAAACUCUUAAGAAUUUGGAUACCAUGCUAAUUUCUUUUACAUGGUCUGAUGACAACCAAUCAAAAUCUUGUAUUUUUCUCAGCAUAAUAGCUGAUCAUCAACCGUAGUUCCAAGUUCAACUUUGAGAGAGACGAUCUGAAUAUGAAAUCCAAAGUUAUAGCUUUGCAGCUUGUGUAACUAACAUCUAUUUUCAGCUAUUGAUGGCAAAAUUUUUCGUUAGUGGUAACAAGUUAUGUAUUCGUCACAAUGUGUGUUAUGGAAUGGAAUAUUUAAGACGUGGAAGGACAACAUUGUUGUUAAAAAUCAAAAACUUGUUACUAUUAACUGAAAACUAUAACGGCUGAUACAGAAACUACACUGGUUCUGUGGUAAUAUUAUCUGUAUGUAUCAUAAAAAUUUGGAAACCAAGUCAUAUAGUCCUUGAAAUCUCAUUAAAAACAAGUCAGGUAUGCAAAAAUUCUAUUUCAAAAAAGAAAGAUACUGAUCUGAUAUAAGCACCACCAUAUAUCAUCGGAAGAUUCCAGGCAUAAGUCUGCAAUUCUUAAGAUUCUUACAUGGUCUAUUCAGUAUCUCAAAUGAUAGAGCUACACAACGAUCCCAGCAUAGCAGGUUAUACCACAGUAUUCAUAGAACUUAUUUCUUAUUUUCAGUUCCACACACAAUCUCAAUAGCAAGGUCCUUCAGAGUUUUUGUACCAAACUCUUUAGUUAUCCGAAAUAAACUUAUACUAGCCUUGACCAUGUUGAAUUCUCAGGGAAUCCAGCUGAGAUUUUCCCCUAAGCUCACGAGCAUACCGGCUCCUAAAGUAUUCUUCAAUUCUCACUCUUCUAAACAAAGGAGGAGUUUUUUCAGAGAUCAAACUGGAGGCAGGAUAUACUUCACCAUCAUAUCUCACUGAGUAAACUGUGGCAACGGAAAGUCUUUCCUGUACAGAGUUUACAACUGCACGAUGCUCAAUGCUACGGUAUGUCCCAUUGGUUAUAAUCUGCCAUGUAAAAAUUAGUAAAGCACAUAAGCAAGCGCAUAAAAAUGCCAGGUUAAGGUAAUUUAUUAUAAUUAUUACCUCCAAUGUGUCUCCAAUGUUGACAAUGAAAGCAUCCGGGAGUGGGGUAACAGGAAUCCACUUUCCAUCCUUCUUUACCUGGAGACCCUCCACUUCAUUAAGUUGUAGCAGAAUGGUAAGUGCAGCCGCAUCAGAAUGCGGCGACAGGCCCAUAACCUUCUCGGGCUGAGGACAUGGAGGGUAAUAAUUCAUCCUCAUUCCUUGCAGUCCAUUUUCAAAGAAUUCUCUCAUUUCUUCAUCUUUGAUAUUUAACACUUCUCCCAUUUUCGAUAUUAGGUUCUCGGCUAGGGUUUUUAAUUCCAUUGAGUAAACUUCCAAGGUCUCUCUACAGGAAAAGAAGAUGCACCAUCCUUUAUUUGUUUGCAAAUCAAAAUGACAUUGACAUAGAGAGAGAGAGAGAGAGAGAGAGAGAGAGAGAACCUGAGGGAAGGAGGGAGCUUAGGAAAUAAAUGUGGUUUCCUCAGAUGAACUGGAAGAGUCAUCAUGGAGAAAAGGUCAGCCCAAUCAAGCUUUUGUUCCUCAGAUACAACAAAGGCUUGUCCAAAUCCUUCCAUAUCUCCUGGACGCUGCCAAUAUUUUUUCUUUUCUUCCAUGCUGAGAUUGAAGAAUCCCUCAACCUCUUUCUUUAAUUUCUCUAGAAAU
rnacentral:lncRNA from 1 species